GAAAGAAAUAUUUGGGAAGUCGCUUUGUUCUUUCUUCUAUCAAUCGUGGUUAUUGUUCAGCUGAAAUGUCGAAGAGGAGGUUGAUGGUGUGGGAGCUUGAUACCAUGCCUCAGGCUUCUCUUCCUUUCAGACUGGAGCUGUGAGCUGACAGCUGUGUGGCUUCUUGACUUUAGGUUGCCUCAGCAAGAAAAAUCCUUGGCAGAUCUGCACUGGCAGGCAGUUUCUGUUCAUGCAUACAGCAAAAGGCAUGGAGAGAUCAGGAGGUCUGCAGGAACUGACGUAUAAAGGAAAAGGAAGGAAACAUUUGGCCAUUUCCAUUUAUCUUGUCAUGCUGUGGUGCUUAACAGUAAGGCCCAUUAAUGCUGAUACUACACACAUGUGAUAAUUUUAAAGUAUGGAAUCUAGGACAGAAUCCAAUACCACAGGGUCCUUGAACUCACCUGGCUCCAGGUUUUCCAUGAAAAUAGCUUCAGUUCAUUCUUUAACUCAUGGAAAAACACAAGUAAGUGAUCUAGUGUUAACCUAUGUGUAGCCAAGGGUAGUUAGAAAGUAACAAUGAUAUAAAAUGCUUUACUAGGAUAUAUCAUUUAAAAGCUCCAAGUUCUACAAAUUUUGAUUCUAUCUCCUUCCAAAGAGACAAAGAGGCAUCCCUUUCUCUACAUUUGAAUCCAGUAUGUUGGCUUCCUUUAAGGAAUUUCUAGCUGAAAUCUUAUCUGCAGUACUUGGACAAAUUCUGCUUCUUGCCAUUUGUCUGACAGCAAUGAAAUUUCAAAUAUGAUCCAGGCUGUGAAGUCUGGCCCUUGUCAGCUCCUGUUUUGACCUUUUCACUAUUCCCUGUUCUGGCUGACUGGCCAUUUGCCAGCCUCUCCUGGAGGUUGGUCAGGUUCUAAGGACUGGAAGAAUGGCAUCACCAGCUAACCAGCAAACCAACUAUUGAAAAGGUCAGGACAAGCAUGUCUGCUCUACAGCUGCAUAGAGAACCACACCAAUGUAUGCACAAAAUUUAGAUGGAUAGAGGCAACACUGUGAAAACAUUCUGUUCUAGUAUUAUUGCAACAAAAAUGAAGAAAUUUGAAUAAUAUUGAUUAUUUCACACUAGAGCACACUGAUGUAAAAACUUCCAUUUUAUAAUUAAAGUAUAUAGUAAUGGAAGGCUAUGACUGUUUCUAGCUUAUACUCAACACUGGAUUUUUUCAAGUAAGAAUUUUUGAAUAAGAUCCCCCUCAAAUAACUGAUUUUUCUUAUUUUG
rnacentral:lncRNA from 1 species